CUGGCACGCGCGCGCGCCGCCACCUCCGACGACUACGACCCGGCGCGCUUCGCCUCCGCCGCCCGCUUCCUGCAGCCUAAUGGAAGGUCAAGCAGGAACGAAAGCCCUGAAUGCAGCAACAAUGAAAAUGGAGUUUGAAUUGCCUACGCUACGGUACUGUCGCUGGAACAUAAAAUAUAAUCUUAGAUUCACAGGUUGCUUAUACGCGCUUGGUUCAUAUUACCGAGCAGUUUUCAAUUGUAUUGCAAUUAGGUAGUUUUUAAUAUUCAUUAAUAGGGUAGUUGACAUACCAGUCAAUCAACAUAUUGUAGCUGCAUUGCAUGAACAGUUAAAACGCUAUUCUCCCACAAUGACAUACAAAAAAGAUAGACUAGACAGGUUAUGCGCCUACAUUUGUAUUUUAAGGUGACGUAAGUAGUUCUCUCUCUCUCUCUAGUAUUGUGACAUCCGCGGCAUCCAAUCGUGCCCGACUAAAUGCAAAGCGGGCAAUUACCUGACUUUUCUAUUGCCAUUCUAGAGCGGUUACGACGAAUCUAAUUUUAAAAACAUGUAGGUAGAUCUCCCAUACAUUUUGUAUGGACAAUCGGGUUAUAAAUAGUCAUCGGAGUUCGCGAACUGGUGACUAACAAUGUAUCAAUUUCAAAGCUACUAAAAAUUUAAAUAAACAUCUAAAACUAAAUCUUACUCUGUUUUCGGAACUACAUUGAAGUGUUAAAAAAGGAGUAGUGUCAUGGAAUUUAUUGGUCAUUGGUGUCAACUACCCAUUUUCAUCAUAUUUAAUAUUAUGUAGUUUGCCAACAUAUACUCAUUUAGCCGAAGAUUUAACUAAUUGAUGUAUAACCAGUUUUAAAUAUUGUGUCGUCUGGAAUUACUGUCUAUUUUACUCAAUUUAUACUUCUCAUGUUUAGCUGCUCUUAUUUUUUUCUAGAGUGUGUUUUUUAUGUUAUUUCAAUCAAUAUAGUGCCCCUGAAACUUUCAUCAUUACUUAUUUGUUUACAUAUUAUUGUAUUAAAAUGACGGUUCGGUUUUAAUAUUUUUUUUGGUAUGAUUCUUCAAAAAAAAAUUUUAAGCUUAAUUUAAAUGAUUGAUAUUUUUAGAUUAAAACAAAAAGGGAAGAUAUGUCAUAGGCUUAGAUUAACCCAUUAGAGGUCACUGUACUCAAAUGGGUACAGCUAUAUUUUUACGUGUCAAUUGCAAAUCUCACAAAAUUAACACGGGUUGACUUGUUAUUUUACGUCAUUAUGACACUAUUAAAGUAUAUUGACAAGAAUUACGUGGGUAGUGGGACUUUUUUUGAUAAAAAGUAUCAGUUGAAGUUGUGUCACUGAAACGUAGUGGAGGUAGGUGUUUAAUUUUUAAGUUUUUUAUAACAAUUACUGCUCAUAACUUGAUUUUUUUAUUUAAUUACUUUAGAAUACAUAUCAGAGUAAGUUAUGAAGCACAAUAUAAUAUAAUAUUUACAUCUCAAAUAAAACUAGGGUCAUGUAAAAGUUACUGUACUCGGUUGGGUACAAUGACAACAUGCGUAAGUAAAAAAACUGUAUUUAUUUUUUGCUUUUUUGUAACAUUUUACAGGUCAAAAGACCUAAAAGGGGCUUGAAUAAAUUAUUGGAGCCAUUUACAGGAUAGUUAUUGACGAUGAAUAUAUUUUGGCUAAUAAUUGUACCACCUGAUACAAGUGCGUUGACUGAAAAAGACGAUAUGGCGGCGUGUUUCAUACCAUAAGACGUACUAAAGGGUAUUUAUGACCAGAGGGGAUAGUGGCAGCAAAGGCAGUUUAUAGGACGACAGCGAUAAUGAACCGCUGGCGUGAAAAAGAAGACGUUAGGUUCCCACAAAUCCGCUCUGAAUCCGCACCCAAUCAAAAGUCGUAAUUCUUCAAUCCUGAAGUCUGUGGUGAUAAGUUUGCUAUAUUUUAUGAAGAGCUGAAGGGCCUCAAACUUGCACAGUAUUUGAAAAAAAAAAAUACUGACAAUAUUUUUAUAUCCAAUAGAUAACUAUGAUACUUUUCAUUAUCAUUAUGAUAUUUCUAUUGGCUAUAAUCAUAUCAGUAUCCAAUCAACACAAUACACAUGGGAUUCCUAUAAAGCCCUAUUUACGGGUUUUGGUACUAUCUGAGUACCACAAGCUACCUCGAGAGACAGUGCAUUGUACUUUACUGGUCACUAGAUGAAGAGAAUUUAGCCCGGCUGUACCCAUAGUUUAUGGUUUUCCUUCAAAAUGGUGUUGGAAAAUAUCCCAUAAAAACUGAAAAAGAUCUGGGGUAUGUUCUCUGUCAUUCAACAGUGCGUUGGCAGUUUAAGAAGUCCCUUAAAACAUUUUUGGUCGAAAAGGCACAUUUUGAAAAUUAGCAUACUUAGGAGGUCAUUGUACCCAAUUGAGUACACCCCUGUAAUUUCAUGAAAACAACUUUUUUUCAGCAUUUUCUUGUAUUUUGUGUUUUUUUGCUCUGAUUUCAAUAUGAAAAUAAAGAAAAUUUUGAAAAUAUAUUAGUACUUUGUGUUUGACCUCUAAUGGGUUAAUAAAACCUAGAUGGAUAGUCUUCAUACAAACGCUUCGUCAAGAGUGAGGCAAAAAUCUUAUGUCAUUAGUGUCAAUUUUGUUGGGGAGUGUAGACAGUGAAGGCGAUUUUCCCGAAAGUAGGGAAAUUUUUAAUACGUUUUUAAUUAUUUUAUAACUAACAAAAACAAAACGCAUCAUGUACUUACUUAUUUAUUGAAUUCAAAGUACCUACCUAAUUACAAUAAGAUAAAUCGACUGAAAAGUCUCGAUUUCAUAAAAAAGGAAGUGUAUUUGUACGGCGAACAAUUGGGAAAUAAAUUUUCUUGUUACUGGUAUCAUUCCCGUAUUUAAUUUUUGAAAGCCAAAUUCAAGCAAAAUACGCGUCGAAUCGUAGUACUUACUUAUGAAAUGUAACACUGGUCACUUUCUUUAGUUUUUCUGAUGUAUUUAGACACCCUUUCACAGCACAAACCGUCUUAAUUAAUUAAAAGUCGUCGGACGUGUUUACCAAUUUUUCACUUUGACAGUUCAUGUGACGUUUACGAGUAAGCCAUUCUGGCUUACUAAAAUCUGCCUCACCUUUCGUGCACUGACUAUCUAUCUAGGUUUUAUUAAUCUAAGGUCAUAGGCGUUUCGGAAGUGUCCCCACUCUAAAGACUGAUUGGCUAGAUUAAGUAUUUAACUAAAUUUUAAGUGAUCAAAAUGCAUCGUAACAAAUUUUUAACUUAAUUCCAAAUGUCAAGCUCUUGUUUACUAUCAAACUGCUUGUCAAAACGUGUCAAGUGACAAGCCCCGCCCACCAAUUUGACAGAUAAAUCAAGUUAAAAUUUAGUUAUCUACUUAAUACGUGUAUAUCAGCCUUUAUGGCUGGGCAUGACAUACCAAAAAGAUAGACAGGUUAUGCGUUGUAGGCGCAUUAUUGCAUGUUAAAAUGGCGCAAGUAGUCCUUUAAUAUGAGAGCUAUUUAAUACGACUUUUUCAAAGAAGGCAAUUACCUGACUUUUCUAUUGCCAUUCUAGAGCGGGCACGACGUAUAACUUUAAACUUAAAAAACGUCUUAGUUCACUAAUCUAUCACUGGCACCCGCCAUGUCUUCAGGGCCUAGUUUUUUCAAUAUCAAUGUAAGCGCAUACCAUAUCUUCCCUUUUUGUUUUAUUAAUCUAAGUUGAUGUUACAUAGUUUUAUCCUUUUAUCUAAAUGUGCAAAUCCAUAAAUAGUAGCUCACAUAACCGAUUGAUGUUUUUAAUAGUAAACACACAAUAAUUGGAUGUUAUUAUAAUCAAAAGUAAUUAGCUUAGAGGAUAUUUUCAUCAUUAUUAUUAAUGUUUCAAUAGAUUUUAAAACAUGUAUCAUCUACUUACAUAUUCAACUUAAUACAUAAGUUGGACGAUGUUUCAACAUUGGUGUGUAGUAAUUAAUCAUCCUCUUUGACUUGUGUAGACGAAUCAUUUAACUUUUAUUUUUGUAAACAAAUGGGGUUAAAUUAGUACUUUUGCUGCUGCAUUCAAAAUCAAAAUUUGCUUUUAAUUUAUUGUUAUAAGCAAUCAUCCACUCCAGCAAAAGAUUUCAUUUUUCGGAUAAAAUGGGGUAUCUUCUACACAAAACUAAGGGGUAUUAAGAUAUAAUAAUUUAAGAUGUAAUCAUAAUUAUGGUAUAAUAUUUAGCGGGCAUGGCGUUGUAAGAAGGAACAGUAACGUCACAUUUUUCUAACGGUUAUACUUAUUUUCAUCUCCCUAUAGUAUUUUUCAUUUAAUUUUCUAAAUUUUUAUUAAAAAAUAAAAUAAGGCAGAGGGAACGCGUGCGACUGUGAAGUCUACUAACGUCUCAAACAGAUCGAUUAUCAAAACCGUAACUUUUUCUAAAUUAUUGAUUUAUUUAUUCAAUAAAUAAACGUAGUUCGGUUAUUUUGUAUUGUUGGUAAAAUUAUAAUAUGGUACCUACGUCGGUUGUGCUCCUUGAGAAGGCCAGCGCUGACCGUAGACCAUACCAACCCAGCAAAGCUUGGGAUUGGGAUGUAAAUAUAAAAAUAAACAACUGAGACUGAACAGUUAAUAUACUUUAUAAACUUAUAUUACAUAAUGACACAUAUUAUGGUAUAAUAUGUUUUUUUGUUAAAGUGCAGUCAACAGCACCUCAGACUAUACGUGUUGGUUGCAAAAUAACACCUAUUAUGACUAUGAGAUGCCACGGUGCUUAGCUUGAUGUGCUGUUGUCUGUACUCUUUAUUUUUCGUUUUUAUUCAUUACUUUAAAAAGAAAGUGUUCCUUCUUGCAUAGUUUUUUUGUUGUACAAUCUGUUGGUUAUCGAAUUAUCAUUUUCCUUGAUUUUAUUAAGAGUUUCAUAGAAGUCUAUGUGUAUGUGCUAAAAGGAUUUCAACAAUCAACCAGUUUGAAUCUAGACCCAUUUAUUAAGGUGAGUAUAGACUGGAGCAUUUAUAGUUGUCCAACAUUGAACCGUCCCAGCUACGACAUUGACAGGAGGGCGCUACUACCAAUACUAGGUUAUUUCGAUUUUUGCCACUUGCCGUUUCAGAAUCGUUUGACUAUUACUUGUAACAGAAUAACGAGCUGCUCUGUGAAAUGUCUAGUGUAUCACCCUGUCACGAACCAAACGUCGUACAUUUUACCUGUAUGGAAUCGUUCGCAAGAAAGCGAUAUUAUAAAGAAAUGCUCUAGUCUAUACUCACCUUUAGACAAUCGUUAAACAUGGAUUUUAUUCUUACAAAUGAUAUUUUAAUGCCAAAGAAAUUGCUUCACUAUUCAUCAACGCAGUAUUUCAAUUUAACUAGGCAUGGUUUUUAGAAAAAAGAAACAACUACAUAUGUACAACUAAAAGUUUCUAACGAUAAAAUUCAAUUUUAAAAUGAUAUCAGACGGCAAUCAAGUUUUGUCAAAUUAAGUUCACAUCCAUUUCCACAUGAAACAUCUAACUGAAUUUUAAAGAAUUAACCUUAUUCAUUUUACCGAAAUGCGAUUGAGUCUAUUUAUUUUACUUUUAAUUUAAUAUAAUUUCAUCGAAUCAUCAAUUUUAUAAUUUUUUGCAUCAUCAUAAUGAUAAUGAUGAUGAUGAUAAUUUUAUUUGUAUAUCUUUGAUAUGACGCACAUCGACGGUGAAGUGACAAUACCUCCAAAGUGCAUUUAUUUUUUUGGUUUUUAGGAGAUAGAAAUAAUAUGGAAAUAUUACUUGCGCAUAUAGCAGCUAUUUCCAUCAAGUUUUAUUGCUAUCUAAAAAGAAAUAUCAGUUAGGAGAAAAAUUUCGAAUGGAAAAAGUCCACGCGAAAUUAAAUUUUAAGCUUAUUGUAUCAAGAAAAUCGAUUUCUUUAAAAAUUUUAGUUAGGAGGUAUUGUCAUUUCACCGUCGAUAUAAGAAAUUCUACAUAAUUGUAUGACAAUGCUUGUAAUAAAGAAAAUAAAUGGGUCAUGAAGCAAUUGGUUGGUGUACGUUCGACAGCAUAUGAGAGAAAACAUCUUGUUUCUACAUACACAUAAAUAGCACCUAUUAGAGCCACAGCAUACUUGCUACUUUCAGUAUCGGCGAGCGGCGAUUUAACCGCUUUUUAGAAGCUAAAUGCAGCGACCACACAUUCCACACCGCACACUUAAAACGUCAACCGCGGCGAUUGAGUCGUUUUUCGGAAGCUUGACAGUAGUCGCUAAAACGCGCGAUUCCGAACGCAAGAAGUCGCGAAAUCGCGAUGCUGCGUCGAUACAGAAGCACAAUCGUCGAUCGCCGAUGCUAAAAGUAGCAUGUCUGCUGUGGCCUUUACAACGGCCCAAUUUCAUUAGAACGCAAUGUGGCGGCGCGGUGGUGGUGUCUUGAUCUACUAAAUAUACCUAAAAGCUACGUUCUCGGUUGCCUGUUGGUUGGUUACGCAAACCAAGCUGAUACCAGGUGAAAUACCUUCCAUAUAACUGUAGAACUUGGUGGCGCGACUGUGGCGCCGCCAUGGUGUUCUCUUAGGCUAUGGUCUCCUAUUAAACGCUAUUUACGUCAGAGUCAAACAUUCCAAUCGACGUCCAUAGUGUCCAUGCGCCGACGUUAACAAAUGAAAGAGAAUCACAACAAUAUAUUUCUAUAGUUAGCAUUGUGACGCUGCCUACGGCGUUUACAGGAGCCCACAGCCUUAGGGCCUUGAGAUGCCACAGUGUUUAACUUGAUUUGCUGUCGUCAGUACAUAAUGUUUCCGAAAACAGCAAGCCUAGCUCUUCUCUUUUUAAGUUUACAUUGGUGUGACUUAUUGAAGUGGCCGGUUGAAGGAAAUGAUGAUACGGAACUAACAUAACUUACUUAUUAAUAGGUGUCAACUUUAUCGUUGUUUCUGUCUUGAUAUAAUGUAUUACAAUAUCGAUGUUCACAGAAGUAGAUUCUUAAGGCUGGGUUGCACCAUCUUACUUUAACUGUAACAAACGUGAGAUGUCUGUCAAAUUCCAUACAAAACCACCGGUUAUGUAUACACUCGCGAGCACAAAUAUGGAAUCACCUCAUUUGUUCUGAGCUAUCUUAAGAACUAAAUUACUAAUCUAUACUAAUAUUAUAAAUGCGAGAUAACUCUGUCUGUCUGUCUUGCUUUCACGCCUAAACCACUGAACGGAUUUUGAUGAAAUUUGGCAUGGAGAUAGUUUGAGUCCCGGGAAAGGACAUAGGACAGUUUUUAUCCCGGUUUUUGAAACAGGGACGCGCGCGAUAAAGUUUUUCUGUGACAGACAAAAUUCCACGCGGGCGAAGCCGCGGGCUGAAAGCAAGUAACUAAAUAAUAAAACCGGCCAAGUGGGUAAAGUUUAACGUGUUACGCGCAGUACAGGUUUCCGUAGUUACCCGUCGUUACCACAAUAUAUUUUAUAUUUUAUAGAAGCAAGCAAUUAUUUCAUCUAAAGACACUUUUAAUGUUCUUAUAAGGAUUUUUUAUAAGGUAAGAAAUUUUGUAAUAACUGUCUAAUAACUAUCCGGUGUCCAAUCACUGUUGGAUUACCCUACACCAAUUACUCUAAUGGAUAUACAACUUAUAUACCUACUUUUAAAAAUACAUAGUAACACCCAGACCCGUCACAGAAAUGAAAAUUUAUCAUUUCAAUUUCUGCCCGUCCGGGAAUCGAACCCGCGACCACUCAGCAGUAGUCCGUUCCGAACCACUACACCUAACGGCUGACAUUCCGGCCGAUUAUCAUGAUUUUUUUCCAGAUUGAUGGCUUGAAAAGCAAAUAGUUUAGUUUUUAGAGGGGGGACAGGGACACCCUACUCGAACAAAAAUUUACUGUUUAGUUUAAUACUCACUCUCUCUCCCUCUCUCUCUAGAGAUUGAAGGUGAUAACGGGCAUUAGCAACCCCUGUGGAAUUUUUAAAGACCUAUUUCAUAAUACCCCACACGAUGGGGUGGGUAAGUGGGUGGACGAUGAAAAAAAAAUUGCAUCCCCAUGUUACUUGUAGUGAAGCUACCUUAAAAUAAAAUAUUAAAAAAUAUAUAUUGUACAGUUUUGUCGGCAUAAUUAAGAUAAAUACCUCCACAAAAGUACAGCUCUCUAGUGCCAACAGUCUCCACGCUAAACCCACAUGACUAAACUAUAAAUAAGGGUUCCUUAUCAGAACUACGGAAACCUAAUAAGGUGUUGUUUCCAUACUUUUGAUAGUAAGUAAAGCUAAUAGAUAAAGUAAGGUGGUGCAACUCACACUCUUGUAUUACAUAACAUUGUAGCGGACUUUAAGAGCAUGGAAAGCUGUUAAUCAGCAGUUGUCGUAAAUAAAAAAUUAAAAAAUCCACAAA